GCCUCCAGCAGCCCCAAACACCACAGUCUAUCCCUCUCUCUAUGCCUCAAUAUGUCCUGAGCAGUAUGAGUCCCUCCAGCUACUCCCCUGCCUUACUGGCACCCCAGCCUACCUGAGUGCUGCAAGCAGCCAGACACUGUCCUUCAUCUCUGCUACCGUGAGGGUUUAAUGGCCCAAGGCAGCUGCGUGGCUGGAAGGGCAGCACCACCCCAGCCCUAGUGAGGUGAUGUGAGGCAAUAAGUGCCACCUUGCCCGCAAUGGGCUAGCAUGCAGCAGCAGCCAUCUGCUACUGCUGCCAUCCCCCCAGCAGUGCCUCAGCACCUGCCUCAGUGGAGCCUGCCCUGAGAAACACCAGGCAGUGUGCUGGAUAUACAUGAGCAACUUGGUUUAGUAGAAGGUGUCCCUGUCCAUGGCAGGGAUGUUGGAAUUAAAUCAUGUUUAAGGACCCUUCCAACCCAUCCCAUUCUAUGAUGCACAUCUUGUGUGAGGAAUGGAGACAGGAGGCCUGGAAGUAGAGGUGAGAAGAAGGAUAAUAUUUCAUGGGCUUUGGUAUAUCACAAGAAACAGAAUCGGUGCAGAGAAUGCAAGCAGAAAUAAAUAAUUUGUAAACAAAACCACGACUGUAUCUCUCCUAUGACAACUGAGUCAUCUACAGCUGUGCAAAAUGAGAAUUGAUGCUAAAAGCUCGGGAUGAUUUAAGGGAAAUGACAACUUCACUCUCUUGCAAUGGUAAAGAACUGUGUGCUUUAAAAAAGGAAGGGAAGAACCUGGACAGGCACAUAGCUGUGUGUCUCUAAUUUAUCAUGAGGAACUAAAGGUAUCUGUAUAAACUCAAUAGGCGUGACAGAACACUAUCUGAGAGUAGUUUUUUGUAUCUUGAAUGUGAACGUUCAUUUUUGCACUCCAUGGAUAUUUUGUAUUCAUACAAACCACAAAUAUUUAUAUAAUCAAUACAAAACUUUGUGAAUG